AUUGAACGCUGGCGGCAGGCUUAACACAUGCAAGUCGAGCGGGGAAGAGUAGCUUGCUACUUGACCUAGCGGCGGACGGGUGAGUAAUGCUUAGGAAUCUGCCUAUUAGUGGGGGACAACAUCUCGAAAGGGAUGCUAAUACCGCAUACGUCCUACGGGAGAAAGCAGGGGACCUUCGGGCCUUGCGCUAAUAGAUGAGCCUAAGUCGGAUUAGCUAGUUGGUGGGGUAAAGGCCUACCAAGGCGACGAUCUGUAGCGGGUCUGAGAGGAUGAUCCGCCACACUGGGACUGAGACACGGCCCAGACUCCUACGGGAGGCAGCAGUGGGGAAGAGUGGACAAGGGGGGGAACCCUGAUCCAGCCAUGCCGCGUGUGUGAAGAAGGCCUUUUGGUUGUAAAGCACGUUAAGCGAGGAGGAGGCUACCGAGAUUAAUACUCUUGGAUAGUGGACGUUACUCGCAGAAUAAGCACCGGCUAACUCUGUG
rnacentral:rRNA from 1 species